rnacentral:rRNA from 1 species
GACGAACGCUGGCGGCGUGCUUAACACAUGCAAGUCGAACGGAAAGGCCCUGCUUUUGUGGGGUGCUCGAGUGGCGAACGGGUGAGUAACACGUGAGUAACCUGCCCUUGACUUUGGGAUAACUUCAGGAAACUGGGGCUAAUACCGGAUAGGAGCUCCUGCUGCAUGGUGGGGGUUGGAAAGUUUCGGCGGUUGGGGAUGGACUCGCGGCUUAUCAGCUUGUUGGUGGGGUAGUGGCUUACCAAGGCUUUGACGGGUAGCCGGCCUGAGAGGGUGACCGGCAACAUGGGGACGGGGAUACGGCCCAGACUCUUACGGGAGGCAGCAGUGGGGAAUAUUGCACAAGGGGCGGAAGCCUGAUGCAGCAACGCGGCGUGCGGGAUGACGGCCUUCGGGUUGUAAACCGCUUUCGCCUGUGACGAAGCGUGAGGGACGGUAAUGGGUAAAGAAGCACCGGCUAACUACGU